GACGAACGCUGGCGGCGUGCUUAACACAUGCAAGUCGAACGGAAAGGCCCUGCUUUUGUGGGGUGCUCGAGUGGCGAACGGGUGAGUAACACGUGAGUAACCUGCCCUUGACUUUGGGAUAACUUCAGGAAACUGGGGCUAAUACCGGAUAGGAGCUCCUGCUGCAUGGUGGGGGUUGGAAAGUUUCGGCGGUUGGGGAUGGACUCGCGGCUUAUCAGCUUGUUGGUGGGGUAGUGGCUUACCAAGGCUUUGACGGGUAGCCGGCCUGAGAGGGUGACCGGCCACAUUGGGACUGGGAUACGGCCCAGUCUCAUACGGGAGGCAGCAGUGGGGAAUAUUGCACAAUGGGGGGGGGCGAGAUGCGGCAACGCCGCGUGCGGGAUGACGGCCUUCGGGUUGUAAACCGCUUUCGCCUGUGACGAAGCGUGAGUGACGGUAAUGGGUAAAGAAGCCCCGGCUAACUACGUG
rnacentral:rRNA from 1 species